ACCCGCACUCGAGCCUCCGCCCGCACUCUCUGCUCUCUUCCCCGAUCCCCUCCCAUGAACCCUAGCAUCCUGGUGCAGCCACCCCUUCCUUCCCCCGUCCAUCCCCACCCCUCCCCCGCGCCGCGAGCCCUUCCCUCCUCUUCGUCGCCACUGCUGUCUCUCCUCUUCCUCCCCGCUCUAGCCCCUCCAGGUCGUCGCUCGCGGUGGUUCCAGAUCCUGCGCUGGUCGUCCCCAUGGGUGAGGAGGGGAGGUUGGGUCUUCAAGGUGGAGGUGGAGGGGAGACCGGCAGCGUGGGGAGGAGCAGUGAGCCAGGAGCCAGGGAGAGGCCAACGUCGGGGACAAGAAGCAGCGGGGCCAGCGGUCCGUCGCGGUGGUUUGGAGGGAGAGGGAGAGGGAGGAGGUCGGCCACGAGAGAAGGAGCAGGCCGGCCCUGCUUCGUCAUGGAGGAUGUCCAGCUGCUCGUCGUCCUCCGCCUCUUCUCCAAGCGUCCAUCCUAUCACAACUCAGCUUCAGAAUUGGGUGCGUAUGAACAAUGCAAUGGAGGUUAUGUUAAUUCCUAGAGUCUUAUAUGUUCUUUUGUCUCCUGGUGAUUACUUCGAAUGGCUAUGUGAGGAACACAGGUUGCAAUUCCAGUUUCAUCAACGGACUCGCUCGCUGCUCUAGAAGGUGCUUGGGCUUGUUUCUCUGACCGAUUUAUUGGGACAUCUCACAUGGAUCUUCACUGCCUCAUAUACCUAUUUUUUAUUCUCUCGUCAAUUCCACACGUCUGCUCGUCCAUUGCACGGUACUAGAUGGUCCCUCUUAAGUUAAUUCGAGAACGUUGACCUGGAGUCCUCCUUUUACAUAUUUGGUCUUCUUGGAAUCAAGCAAAAAUUACUAAGAAGCACAUAACUGAUUAUUUCUUCUGCUUAGCCUCAUUUCUGUUAUGCACACAGGUGGGUAAGGUUUGAAUCUCUAUAAGACUCACAGUCAGGUGCCACUGGAGGCAUAUUAUUAAGUGCGUGUCUAUUGUUAUGAGUUUCAGUUUUCGACUCUAUGCAAUUCUUGGUGCAAGGGGCCCCGCUUCCUUGUUGUGACGUUGCAGCCUUACUGGCCCUUCUGCAGGUAUGCUAGCUCCUUCUCUCCUCUUCUUUCAUACUGAUGCAAUUCUCUCAUACUGAUGGAAAAGGAGAGGUGCAAAUCUGAAGAUUAUCCAAUGAGGUAUGUACAAGCGCCUCUGGCAAACCCUCGAGAAAGAAAGCGAAGGAUAAAUGGAGGCCAAGGAUGGUUGCCAUUUUUUGUAUAUUGUGAUGGCUUCAACCCUGAAACAAGAAUAUAAGGGAUCCUGAGAACACUCAGCUUGCGCCAUGGUUAGCCAAAUAUUUUCAAAGCAGUCUGACUAUUACAACAAGACAGAAGAGAGCCGGAGAACACUUAGCUUGCACUGUGGGUUGCCAAAUAUUUUUCAAUAUACUAUGGACCCCCUGUGUUUGCUCGAGUGUAUUGUAAACCAAAAUCAUGAGAGCUCCACACAUAAAUUUUGCCCAGACUUACUAUGUUCCUUCAAGUGUAAGCAUUUGAAAUUCUUGAUGCAUUUGAGACGGUGGAAACGAGAGAAGCUGGGAGCGUAGCACUGACCGUGACUGUGAUUGCUAGAGCUCUAAGAGAUAGAUGGAGGUCUCAACUGGCUGGGAAGAUUUGACAAGAGAUGUGGAGAUGGGGCACGGGGAGGGGAGGGCGAGUCGGCCUGGAGGCCCCGGUUGUGGCUUCGACUAGGCAGGCCUGGGACUCGCGGUGGCGGGCGGCCUCGCGCUGGAGCUGGUCCUGGCGGGCGGCCUCGGCCUCGUCCACACGGACUUCUCCUGGUUGUCGAACCGGUUGAGGAUAAAAUGUAAGAUAUUUCUGUUUGGAAAGGUUUCCUGACGUCCGGACCGGUCAUACUUUUGCAAGAUACAUGCGAGGAUUGCUGUGUCCAACCUGCACAAGAAUGCCAAGAAAUCCUCGGAGACGUAAGCCACGACGCAUGUUUCUGCCAUGAUUUCCUUCGGUUGGAUUUCGUGGAUUUAGGUGUUCAAAAUUUUUGGGCUGUGGAUGCGGGAUUAAGGACAUGUACUUGCACUACAACGAGAGAUCUGGGUUGCUUCUUUGUGGCUUCCAAACUUGAAAUGUUUGUUUGGAAGUUAGUUUAGUUUUCUGUUAUGGAUUCACAGCUUAUCACAUGUACCAUCCUCUUAGACCUUUAGAUUUUCAAAGAAAGUAAAUGAAGAUAUCAUGGUA